GGGCUUUGCCUGCCAUCUCUUACCCAUGUCUUUUGAGUACCUUCGUUUCCUCGGCGGGUCCGCCCGCCGGUUGGACAACACUUAAACCCUUUGUAGUUGCAAUCAGCGUCUGAAUAAACUUAAUAGUUACAACUUUCAACAACGGAUCUCUUGGUUCUGGCAUCGAUGAAGAACGCAGCGAAAUGCGAUAAGUAGUGUGAAUUGCAGAAUUCAGUGAAUCAUCGAAUCUUUGAACGCACAUUGCGCCCCUUGGUAUUCCAUGGGGCAUGCCUGUUCGAGCGUCAUUUGUACCUUCAAGCCUUGCUUGGUGUUGGGUGUUUGUCUCGCCUCUGCGCGCAGACUCGCCUCAAAACAAUUGGCAGCCGGCGUAUUGAUUUCGGAGCGCAGUACAUCUCGCGCUUUGCACUCAUAACGACGACGUCCAAAAAGUACAUUUUUACACUCUUGACCUCGGAUCAGGUAGGGAUACCCGCUGAACUUAAGCAUAUCA
rnacentral:rRNA from 1 species